CCGUCGUUUGGCUUACCGCUCGUCGUUUGUCGUUUGCCGAUAUAAAAGUGCAAUUUGGAUUCGCAGCCAGCGCAGAUACAAUUGUGGCUCCGUCGAGGUUUCAGUUAGAGUUUGAAUUUGAAUUUAAGUACCAGUGCCCGCGUUCCGUCGUUCAAGUGUGAUCUAGUAUCCAGUAACCCCGUAGCAACAUGCAACUCCUUUUGGUGACGGCCACUUUGGCGAUCUGUGGCGUGGUGGUCAGUGGACAACAGGGCGUGGAUCCCGCCUACUUGAGGCAGUACUACCAGCAGCUGCAACACCAGCAGCAGCAGCAGCAGGCUCAGCCCCACGAUGGCACGCCCAUUUUCGAGCAGAACUCGGAGCAGACGCAGCAGUAUGUGAACUCUGGACAGCAGAUCAGGAUCAAGGAUACGGUGGCGGAGCAGAUCCGGGCACAGCAGCAGCAGGGAUACGUGGCUCCAUCGGUCAGGGAUUAUCAGCAAUAUCAGCCUCAGCAGGCCGCCUACCGUCCACCUGCCCAGGCUGCUCCUCAGCCACCACGCAGGAUUCAGCAGUCCUCCUACCAGGCUCCUUCCACUUCGAUCAUCGGCAAAGGACAGCACAAGUUGUCGCUGCAGCAGCAAAACGAGGAGGAGGAAUACGAUGACCAAAACUCCUCGUAUCAGUUUGGCUUCGAUGUGAAGGACGACGAGUUCACCAACUACCAGAACCGCAAGGAGAUUCGCGACGGUUCGGUGAUCAAGGGCAGCUACUCGGUGGUGGACUCCGAUGGCUUCAUCCGCACCGUAAAGUACACGGCUGAUCCCAAGGAGGGAUUCAAGGCCGAGGUCAUCCGCGAGCCCACCGACAUCGUGGUGAAGAUCCCCACUCCCCCGCCGCCGACGCAGUUGCUCCGCGCUGGAGGCCACAAGGCCCAGCAGGAGUACAGCUCCGGGCCCAGCAAGCAGCAGUAUCAGCACCAGCAGCAACAGCAGCAGCCACAGUACCACCAGUACCAGUAGGGGAUUCGAUUGGAGCAUUAUCCAAGAUCGAUGACUCUUGUCGAAACACUCUUGAAAGUUCCGCAAGUCCAUGUAGUUUGUAAAUAUGCCGAGACUCGAUUGGCACGAGAUUAUAACAUUAUUCUAUUUUAUGUCAUUCAUUUAGGUUCGACUUUCUUGUUUAGAAUAUUAAAUUAAAAGUUUCAAAAAACUUUAAAUGUGUUAUGGAAUAAUUUUGUUUGAGGGCUAAGUGCAAAGUUACUUUUUUGGACAAUACUCCAUCAAUGAAUACAAAUCUUCUUGCUUUCCAAACUUCAUCCAUUACUUCUUUCCGGUUUUUGUUAACCUAAAUAUCUUAAGACCAUCCUGGACUCCCCAAAUUAAGGUCACACCGAUGUCUGCCAACUCGAAGAAAGGACGCGGACCAAGAACCCAGUGACAACACCCAAAAGGCAGAUCUAAAGACAACCCGUUCGGGCAGUUGCUGACAAAGGCCAUCUAAUGGAAGUUCUCACAGUGGAUCGUGGUCACCGAAGACACGGCUACGGAUUCGGACCCGGCUGGACCGGUCAGACCGGUUGUCCUUUGGGAACUCACGCCACAAAAGCAAUAGGAAUAGCAACAGCAAUCGCAAUCGCAUCGCAGUCGCAUCGCAGUGUCCUUCUGCAAUGUCCUUGCAUAAAUUAGACGAGCGUGUGAGAACUUUGAGCAGUCGAAUAUCCCCGGCUUUGAUGACCUUAUCGCCUAAGAAGAAGAAGAAGAAGACGGCCGGCGAUUACGAACCGGUUCUGGACAGUCUCCAGAUGAUGAGUUGAGGUGCGAUGACUGACAGCCAGUCGGGAUCGCUUCGCUAAUGACCCGCAUAGCGGGUCAAAGGGCCUGUAACCCAUUUACAUAUGUAGGUUCGGAGAGGAUAUAUUGAUCUGAUGCAAGGAUCCCAAACAUGUGCGUGGUCAUUCACGCCGUGAAUAUUCCAACAAACAACUGGACAUUAGUCCAGGCCGCCGGGCAUUUGUGUCAUUUGCUUGGCCGUCUUUGGAUGGAUAUGCAAAUGAGGCGAGUGCAACCCCCGAGGUUACAAGAUAAUACCCUCACACAUCUUCAACCCCUUCGUCCUGCUCCUUGGCAGACGCAUUUACAUAUCCUUAACGAGCGACCCGCUUGAUGGACCGACCGAACGACCGACUGUCUUGUCCUGUAAGUGAAGUAACUGCAGGACAUUCGGGUCACUUCGAGGAACCAGUUUCCGGCUAAAGGAUGGCCCGUCGCCAGUUGACCUUUUUGGAUGGCCCAGUGCCCGUUGAACUUGUGUAACCGGUUGGACAGUCCACUUUUCCGGAGCGGCGUGAGAAAAUCUCACAUCUCGAAGAUGACCUAAGACAAGAAGCUGAGCAAGCUGCAUUCGUAUGCAAAUCUUUUGCAGUGCUCAUUCCAAUUUCACGCCAAAUCAUUGCCCU
rnacentral:misc_RNA from 1 species